CGGGUUGUAAAGCUCUUUCGGCAGGAAAGAAAUCGCCAGUCUCUAAUACGGGUGGUGGAUGACGGUACCUGAAGAAGAAGCACCGGCUAACUACGUGCCAGCAGCCGCGGUAAUACGUAGGGUGCGAGCGUUAAUCGGAAUUACUGGGCGUAAAGCGUGCGCAGGCGGCUUUUUAAGCCAGAUGUGAAAUCCCCGGGCUUAACCUGGGAACUGCAUUUGGAACUGGAAGGCUAGAGUGCGGCAGAGGGGGGUAGAAUUCCGCGUGUAGCAGUGAAAUGCGUAGAGAUGUGGAGGAACCCCGA
rnacentral:rRNA from 1 species